rnacentral:misc_RNA from 1 species
AAAAUAUCAUACAUUAAAAUUACAAUUCUAUGCAACAAAAACCUUCCUUUCAUUAGAGAAAACCACAAAACAACAUAUUAAAUAAAUUUUAAAAAGAACUACAUUUGCCUAUUAGCAGCUUCAGUAACAAAAGGCAAAUAAGGAGUUUUUCCAAGUAUAGAAGAAACAAGCCCAUAAAUAAAACAGCCCACAACAAACACAAAAAGCCCAUUAUGCAUCCAAACCGUAAAUUUCAGCCCAAUACCCGAUUGACCCGGUGAAAAUAUCCUCUGAAUCAACAUCGGAAGCACCAGUAGAACGUCGAGCACCACCGCUUGCAGGGCGUUGAACCGGGGGUACUUGUUCAGAUUCUCGUUCCGAACAAUACCUAAGUAGAGUGCAAAGAAAGUGACAAAGCUAGCGUAUGGGAGGGACCGGUAGAGUGAUAGAAGAGGGAGAAUUGGUUGAAAUGGAAGAGCUAGGGUUGGGUAUUGAGCGAAGAGGAAACGGCCGUAUUGAAGGCCGUUGAAGAAGGGGAGAAAGUAAGCGACGGCGGAGAUAAGGCGGUCGGUGGCGGGGAUUGGGUUGUAAGAGGCGGAGAUGGAAGUGGUGGGUUUGGUAUGGAUACGGGUUCGGGUUUGAAUACGGGUUUGGAGUAAAUUGAGGCUGAGAGGGUGGGGGAGAAGACGAGGGGUAGUAGUGGGAGUGAAACGGAG